UACGUAGGGUGCAAGCGUUGUCCGGAAUUAUUGGGCGUAAAGAGCUCGUAGGCGGCUUGUCGCGUCGUCCGUGAAAACCUGCAGCUCAACUGCAGGCUUGCGGUCGAUACGGGCAGGCUAGAGUUCGGUAGGGGAGACUGGAAUUCCUGGUGUGAGCGGUGAAAUGCGCAGAUAUCAGGAGGAACACCGGUGGCGAAGGCGGGUCUCUGGGCCGAUGACUGACGCUGAGGAGCGAAAGCGUGGGGAGCGAACAGGAUUAGAAACCCCUG
rnacentral:rRNA from 1 species